rnacentral:misc_RNA from 1 species
AACUGAUACUACCUGCGGGAACCUGCGGAAGGAUCAUUACCGAGUUAUCAACUCCCAAACCCCUGUGAACAUACCCGAACGUUGCCUCGGCGGGACCGCCCCGGCGCCCCUAGCGGCCCGGAACCAGGCGCCCGCCGGAGGACCCAAACUCUUGCUUUAAACAGUGGCAUACUCUCUGAGUCUCACAAACAAAAAAUAAAUCAAAACUUUCAACAAUGGAUCUCUAGAUCGGAAGAGCAC